GGGAUUGCCUUAGUAACGGCGAGUGAAGCGGCAACAGCUCAAAUUUGAAAGCUGGCUCCUUUGGAGUCCGCGUUGUAAUUUGUAGAGGAUGAUUCGGCAAGGGCUCCCGCCUAAGUCUCCUGGAACGGAGCGUCAUAGAGGGUGAGAAUCCCGUAUGCGGUGGGCUGCCUAAGCCAUGUGAAUCUCCUUCGACGAGUCGAGUUGUUUGGGAAUGCAGCUCUAAAUGGGAGGUAAAUUUCUUCUAAAGCUAAAUACCGGCCAGAGACCGAUAGCGCACAAGUAGAGUGAUCGAAAGAUGAAAAGCACUUUGGAAAGAGAGUUAAAAAGUACGUGAAAUUGUUGAAAGGGAAGCGCUUGCAGCCAGACUUGUCCGCAGUUGCUCAGCCGGUCUCCUGACCGGUGUACUCUUCUGCGGCCAGGCCAGCAUCAGUUCGGGCGGUCGGAUAAAGACCUCGGGAAUGUAGCUCCUCUCGGGGAGUGUUAUAGCCCGGGGUGGAAUGCGGCCAGCCUGGACUGAGGAUCUCGCUUCGGCUAGGAUGCUGGCGUAAUGGCUGUAAGCGGCCCGUCUUGAAACACGGACCAAGGAGUCUAACAUCUAUGCGAGUGUUUGGGUGUCAAACCCAUGCGCGUAAUGAAAGUGAACGGAGGUGGGAACCCUCACGGGUGCACCAUCGACCGAUCCUGAUGUCUUCGGAUGGAUUUGAGUAAGAGCAUAGCUGUUGGGACCCGAAAGAUGGUGAACUAUGCCUGAAUAGGGUGAAGCCAGAGGAAACUCUGGUGGAGGCUCGCAGCGGUUCUGACGUGCAAAUCGAUCGUCAAAUUUGGGUAUAGGGGCGAAA
rnacentral:rRNA from 1 species